GUUUAAAUGAGAUUCGGAGGGUCCUAGUCACAGACCUGUUUGCCUCAGGAAGCCGAGAUCGUCUGGAUUCGUCACCAUGGCCUGGGCCCCUCUGCUCCUCACACUGCUCACUUACUGCUCUGGUUCCCUCUCCCAGUUUACUCUGACUCAGCAGCCCUCAGUAUCAGUGUCCAUUGGCAACACAGUUAAAUUGUCCUGUACCAUUAGCAGUGGAACCACAUUUGGAAGGGUUGUGUGGUACCAGCAGAAAGAUGGGAACAGCCCAAGAUACCUUCUGAGAUACAACAAAGACUCUGACAAACACCAGGGCUCUGGGGUCCCCAGUCGCUUUGCUGGUUCCAAAGACACCUCUAAUACAAUCGGCUACUUAACCAUCACCAGCGUCCGGGCAGAGGAUGAGGCUGACUAUUACUGUGGUGCACGGACCAGUGGUGUUGCUGCUGCACAGUGA